rnacentral:rRNA from 1 species
AUCUAUUUAAUUCUGGUUGUAGAAGGGAGAUAAGCAGCACCACAUAAAAGUAGUUUGUGUGUGUACAUAAGAUAGGCUUUCUUGUGUGAUUAGUGGUUAAAUCUUAGGUUUCGGGGAAACCCGGAUUAGGCUGUUUAUUAGGGAGCGGUGAAUACACAGUGCCAGCAUCCGCGGUUAUUCUGUUAGCUUUUUCUUCGGCGAUAGGUGUAAAUUAGAUAGAAAUUAUUAUCUAGUUUUGAGUAGAAUCUUACUAGUCUUGAGAUGAGUUUCUAGAAGGUUUGACUGUUGUAUUUAUUAAUGGGAUUAGAUACCCCUGUAAUAGGAUUUAAGUUUUACUCCUUAGUAUAAACUAAAAGGAUUUGGCAGCCGAUGAGGUUCUUCCGGGGGAACGUGUGCUGUAAAAGAUAGUCCGCUUAUGAGUUAACCUUUUUUUAGUUUAGUUAGUGUAUAUCCGAUUUAAAAUUUGUGGUUGGUAUCAAUGAGUGUCACGGAUUGUUUAAGUCAGGUCUAUGUGCUGCUUAUAUUAAGGUGUGUUCAUGCGUUACGUUAUUAAAUGUGCUGUUCAGGAUAGUAUCAGUAGUGUUUAGGACUCGGAAGUAGGCUUUCAAAGAUAGUAUUUUUGGUCGAAGUUGAUUUAGUUGGGGUACACACCGCCCGUCACCCAGGGCGUUAGCUGUGGUAAGUCGUAACAUGGUAAUGCUAGGGGAACCUGGUGUUAGUUGAUUCCGCAUUUGGCUGGGGUUU